rnacentral:rRNA from 1 species
CACGAAGGGGGCUAGCGUUGUUCGGAAUCACUGGGCGUAAAGCGCACGUAGGCGGACUUUUAAGUCAGGGGUGAAAUCCCAGGGCUCAACCCUGGAACUGCCCUUGAUACUGAAAGUCUCGAGUCCGGGAGAGGUGAGUGGAACUCCGAGUGUAGAGGUGAAAUUCGUAGAUAUUCGGAAGAACACCAGUGGCGAAGGCGGCUCACUGGCUCGAUACUGACGCUGAGGUGCGAAAGCGUGGGGAGCAAACAGG